UUCAAACCUAUCCAAAUAUCCACUUGCAGAUUCUACAAAAAUGAGCCUUAGGGGCAACCCCUGCUGCUGUGCCCAGGCCGGGCCGGGCAGUGGCUCAGGAACGUGGCGGGGAACACGGUGCCAGUGCUGGGGUCAGGGCUCUGUCGUGGAGGCAGGAUGUCUCUGUGGUUCCUUCCUAACCCUCAUCCUUUUACCUCUUGUCCUGGCUUACUGGGCUGGCAAGGACCUCCAGGAAGAUGUUAAACAGCCUUGAUGUCUGAUAGGCCAAACAAGGGCCUGGAAGCCGUCUGCGUCCUCACUCCGGGGCCUGCACCAUGACGUCAUGGCG
rnacentral:lncRNA from 1 species